rnacentral:lncRNA from 1 species
AAAAUUUAUAGGUCACAAAUUAUUUCAUUGAUCACAGAUCAAAAAAAAAUUAUAAGUCACACGGUCACAUGCACCAAUUACCCCACCACCGAUCACCACACCGUCACCCCACAACGUCACCAACUUCACUGCCACCAUGCCACUUGCAACCACCAUCACCCCGUCACCAUCGCCACCAUCGCAACACCACCAACACCACCAACAAAACCAAGAUAUCACCACCAACAAAAUCGCCGCCACCAGAUCUACCUCCAGGUCCACCACCAAACAAACUAACAAUACCCAACUUACAACGUCACCACAAUCUCCACCGCCAAUACAACAACCACCGAAAACCACCACUGUUACCAUGACCACAAUCAUCUUCAACAACACCAACACCUCCGUAUACAGAUCGAUCGUCAAGGCCACCACCACCGCCAGAGCCACUGCAUACCGGUAGGGCCACUGAACACCAACACUCAAAAGACCCAACAAA